CUAAUUUCUUUCUACCUGUGUCCUGUGUCAGGGUUGAACCAUUUUCUACCCAUCAACAAGUGCAUUGCCGUUUUUCGCCAUUUUGUUCGUCUUCCGCGAUCGCUCGUUGUUUGUUGGCGAUCUGUUUCCGGUUUUGUUGCUGCUGCAUUCCUCUUUUCUUCGUUGUUUCUAUAGCCUGAUCCUGCCCUGCUGGAUUUCGCUUUUGUUGCGAAUUGUUCUGCUGCUGUUUAAUUUCUGAAUCUGCCUGCGUACCUGCGAUCCUUGCCACCUUCCUUUUCCCUUGUAUUCACUUCUGCUUUCGA